rnacentral:rRNA from 1 species
GACAGAGGGUGCAAACGUUGUUCGGAAUUACUGGGCGUAAAGCGCGUGUAGGCGGUGUGGUAAGUCGGAUGUGAAAGCCCCGGGCUCAACCCGGGAAGUGCAUUCGAUACUGCCACGCUAGAGUAUCGGAGAGGUUGGUGGAAUUCUCGGUGUAGAGGUGAAAUUCGUAGAUAUCGAGAGGAACACCGGUGGCGAAGGCGGCCUGCUGGGCAGUAGCUGACGCUGAGGCGCGACAGCGUGGGGAGCAAACAGG